rnacentral:rRNA from 1 species
AGGGGUGGGGACGUGAAAAAAGAACGGGACGGGGAACAGGGAAGGGGAGCGGGGGAGUAUCACAAGAGUAAAAAGAGGAAAAGGGGGGGGGGACUGGUGAGAAAGAUAAUAAUAAGUCCGGGCCUGGGGGAGUUUUAUGAUACUCUCAAGGUAAAAGAGGGGUUUUAGCGAUCUGCGCGGGUGUUAAUCUGAACGGGGGGUAAUGCCCGCGAAUUUAGCUUCAGGUCGGGGACAACCACUGGAAACGGUGGCUAAUACCGGAUGUGCCGAAAGGGUGAAAGAUUUAUUGCCUGAAGAUGAGCUCGCGUCUGAUUAGUUAGUUGGUGUGGUAAGAGCGCACCAAGGCGACGAUCAGUAGCUGGUCUGAGAGGAUGAUCAGCCACACUGGGACUGAGACACGGCCCAGACUCCUACGGGAGGCAGCAGUGGGGAAUUUUCCGCAAUGGGCGAAAGCCUGACGGAGCAAUACCGCGUGAGGGAGGAAGGCUCUUGGGUUGUAAACCUCUUUUCUCAGGGAAUAAAAAAAUGAAGGUACCUGAGGAAUAAGCAUCGGCUAACUCCGUGCCAGCAGCCGCGGUAAUACGGAGGAUGCAAGCGUUAUCCGGAAUGAUUGGGCGUAAAGCGUCCCCAGCUGGCACUGUAAGUCUGUUUUUAAAGAGCAAUGGCUCAACCCUGUAAAGGCAGUGGAAACUCCAAAGCUAGAGUACGUUCGGGCCAGAGGGAAUUCUUGGAGUAGCGGUUAAAUCCCUAGAGAUCAGGACGAACACACGGUGGCGGGAGACACUGGGAUGAGACCCCACUGUAUUUGGAGCGGGAGGCGGCCCCCUCCC